rnacentral:snRNA from 1 species
GUGCUUGCUUCGGCAGCACAUAUACUAAAAUUGUGAACAAUACAGAGGAGAUUAGCAUGGCCCCUGAGCAAGGAUGACACACAAAUUCGUGAAGCAUUCCAUAUUUUU